GAUGAACGCUGGCGGCGUGCCUAAUACAUGCAAGUCGAGCGAACAGAUGAGGAGCUUGCUCCUCUGACGUUAGCGGCGGACGGGUGAGUAACACGUGGAUAACCUACCUAUAAGACUGGGAUAACUUCGGGAAACCGGAGCUAAUACCGGAUAAUAUAUUGAACCGCAUGGUUCAAUAGUGAAAGACGGUUUUGCUGUCACUUAUAGAUGGAUCCGCGCCGCAUUAGCUAGUUGGUAAGGUAACGGCUUACCAAGGCAACGAUGCGUAGCCGACCUGUGAGAGUGAUCGGCCACACUGGAACUGAGACACGGUCCAGACUACUACGGGAGGCAGCAGUAGGGAAUCUUCCGCAAUGGGCGAAAGCCUGACGGAGCAACGCCGCGUGAGUGAUGAAGGUCUUCGGAUCGUAAAACUCUGUUAUUAGGGAAGAACAAAUGUGUAAGUAACUAUGCACGUCUUGACGGUACCUAAUCAGAAAGCAACGGCUAACUACGUG
rnacentral:rRNA from 1 species